AAUGGCUCACCAAGGCGUCGACGGGUAGCCGGCCUGAGAGGGUGACCGGCCACACUGGGACUGAGACACGGCCCAGACUCCUACGGGAGGCAGCAGUGGGGAAUAUUGCACAAUGGGCGAAAGCCUGAUGCAGCAACGCCGCGUGAGGGAUGACGGCCUUCGGGUUGUAAACCUCUUUUAGCAGGGAAGAAGCGAAAGUGACGGUACCUGCAGAAAAAGCGCCGGCUAACUACGUGCCAGCAGCCGCGGUAAUACGUAGGGCGCAAGCGUUAUCCGGAAUUAUUGGGCGUAAAGAGCUCGUAGGCGGUUUGUCGCGUCUGCUGUGAAAUCCGGUGGAACUCAACCUCCGGCCUGCAGUGGGUACGGGCAGACUAGAGUGAUGGUAGGGGAGAUUGGAAUUCCUGGUGUAGCGGUGGAAUGCGCAGAUAUCAGGAGGAACACCGAUGGCGAAGGCAGUACUCUCUGGGCCGUAACUGACGCUGAGGAGCGAAAGGGUGGGGAGCAAACAGGCUUAGAUACCCUGGUAGUCCACCCCGUAAACGUUGGGAACUAGUUGUGGGGUCCAUUCCACGGAUUCCGUGACGCAGCUAACGCAUUAAGUUCCCCGCCUGGGGAGUACGGCCGCAAGGCUAAAACUCAAAGGAAUUGACGGGGACCCGCACAAGCGGCGGAGCAUGCGGAUUAAUUCGAUGCAACGCGAAGAACCUUACCAAGGCUUGACAUAUACGAGAACGGGCCAGAAAUGGUCAACUCUUUGGACACUCGUAAACAGGGUGGGGCAUGGUUGUCGUCAGCUCGUGUCGUGAGAUGUUGGGUUAAGUCCCGCAACGAGCGCAACCCUCGUUCUAUGUUGCCAGCACGUAAUGGUGGGAACUCAUGGGAUACUGCCGGGGUCAACUCGGAGGAAGGUGGGGAUGACGUCAAAUCAUCAUGCCCCGUAUGUCUUGGGCUUCACGCAUGCUACAAUGGCCGGUACAAAGGGCUGCAAUACCGCGAGGUGGAGCGAAUCCCAAAAAGCCGGUCCCAGUUCGGAUUGAGGUCUGCAACUCGACCUCA
rnacentral:rRNA from 1 species